GGCAGACGGGUGAGUAACAUGUAGGUAUCUGCCCUUUGGCCUGGAAUAACACGAGGAAACUUGUGCUAAUACCGGAUAAGUCUUUACGGAGAAAGCUAUAUGCACCAUUGGAUGAGCCUGCACUUGAUUAGUUUGUUGGUAGGGUAAUGGCCUACCAAGACUGUGAUCAAUAGCUGAUUUGAGAGGAUGAUCAGCCACAUUGGGACUGAGACACGGCCCAAACUCCUACGGGAGGCAGCAGUGGGGAAUCUUGCACAAUGGAGGAAACUCUGAUGCAGCGAUGCCGCGUGAGUGAAGAAGGCCUUUGGGUUGUAAAGCUCUUUCGUCGGGGAAGAAAAUGACUGUACCCGAAUAAGAAGGUCCGGCUAACUUCGUGCCAGCAGCCGCGGUAAUACGAAGGGACCUAGCGUAGUUCGGAAUUACUGGGCUUAAAGAGUUCGUAGGUGGUUGAAAAAGUUGGUGGUGGAAUCCCAGAGCUUAACUCUGGAACUGCCAUCUAAACUUUUCAGCUAGAGUAUGAUAGAGGAAAGCACAAUUUUCUAGUGUAGAGGUGAAAUUCGUAGAUAU
rnacentral:rRNA from 1 species